UACGGAGGAUCCGAGCGUUAUCCGGAUUUAUUGGGUUUAAAGGGAGCGUAGGUGGAUUGUUAAGUCAGUUGUGAAAGUUUGCGGCUCAACCGUAAAAUUGCAGUUGAAACUGGCAGUCUUGAGUACAGUAGAGGUGGGCGGAAUUCGUGGUGUAGCGGUGAAAUGCUUAGAUAUCACGAAGAACUCCGAUUGCGAAGGCAGCUCACUGGACUGCAACUGACACUGAGGCUCGAAGGUGUGGGUAUCAAACAGG
rnacentral:rRNA from 1 species